AAUGCCACGUGAGUGAGGAAUGCCUUCGGGUUGUAAAGCUCUGUCCUAUAGGAAGAACGGUUUUACGGUUAAUACCCGUAUUAUUUGACGGUACUAUAGAAGAAAGCACCGGCUAACUCCGUGCCAGCAACGGCGGUGACUGAGCGGGCUGGCAAGGCGCAUA
rnacentral:rRNA from 1 species